rnacentral:rRNA from 1 species
GAUGAACGCUGGCGGCGUGCCUAAUACAUGCAAGUCGAGCGAACAGACGAGGAGCUUGCUCCUCUGACGUUAGCGGCGGACGGAUGAGUAACACGUGGAUAACCUACCUAUAAGACUGGGAUAACUUCGGGAAACCGGAGCUAAUACCGGAUAAUAUAUUGAACCGCAUGGUUCAAUAGUGAAAGACGGUUUUGCUGUCACUUAUAGAUGGAUCCGCGCCGCAUUAGCUAGUUGGUAAGGUAACGGCUUACCAAGGCAACGAUGCGUAGCCGACCUGAGAGGGUGAUCGGCCACACUGGAACUGAGACACGGUCCAGACUCCUACGGGAGGCAGCAGUAGGGAAUCUUCCGCAAUGGGCGAAAGCCUGACGGAGCAACGCCGCGUGAGUGAUGAAGGUCUUCGGAUCGUAAAACUCUGUUAUUAGGGAAGAACAAAUGUGUAAGUAACUAUGCACGUCUUGACGGUACCUAAUCAGAAAACCACGGCUAACUACGU